rnacentral:rRNA from 1 species
GAUGAACGCUGGCGGCGUGCCUAAUACAUGCGAGUCGAGCGAACGGACGAGAAGCUUGCUUCUCUGAUGUUAGCGGCGGACGGGUGAGUAACACGUGGAUAACCUACCUAUAAGACUGGGAUAACUUCGGGAAACCGGAGCUAAUACCGGAUGAUAUUUUGAACCGCAUGGUUCAAAAGUGAAAGACGGUCUUGCUGUCACUUAUAGAUGGAUCCGCGCUGCAUUAGCUAGUUGGUAAGGUAACGGCUUACCAAGGCAACGAUGCAUAGCCGACCUGAGAGGGUGAUCGGCCACACUGGAACUGAGACACGGUCCAGACUCCGACGGGAGGCAGCAGUAGGGAAUCUUCCGCAAAAGGCGAAAGCCUGACGGAGCAACGCCGCGUGAGUGAUGAAGGUCUUCGGAUCGUAAAACUCUGUUAUUAGGGAAGAACAUAUGUGUAAGUAACUGUGCACAUCUUGACGGUACCUAAUCAGAAAGCCACGGCUAACUACGUG